GAGCGGUAGCACAGAGAGCUUGCUCUCGGGUGACGAGCGGCGGACGGGUGAGUAAUGUCUGGGAAACUGCCUGAUGGAGGGGGAUAACUACUGGAAACGGUAGCUAAUACCGCAUAACGUCGCAAGACCAAAGUGGGGGACCUUCGGGCCUCAUGCCAUCAGAUGUGCCCAGAUGGGAUUAGCUAGUAGGUGGGGUAACGGCUCACCUAGGCGACGAUCCCUAGCUGGUCUGAGAGGAUGACCAGCCACACUGGAACUGAGACACGGUCCAGACUCCUACGGGAGGCAGCAGUGGGGAAUAUUGCACAAUGGGCGCAAGCCUGAUGCAGCCAUGCCGCGUGUGUGAAGAAGGCCUUCGGGUUGUAAAGCACUUUCAGCGGGGAGGAAGGCGUUAAGGUUAAUAACCUUGGCGAUUGACGUUACCCGCAGAAGAAGCACCGGCUAACUCCGUGCCAGCAGCCGCGGUAAUACGGAGGGUGCAAGCGUUAAUCGGAAUUACUGGGCGUAAAGCGCACGCAGGCGGUCUGUCAAGUCGGAUGUGAAAUCCCCGGGCUCAACCUGGGAACUGCAUUCGAAACUGGCAGGCUAGAGUCUUGUAGAGGGGGGUAGAAUUCCAGGUGUAGCGGUGAAAUGCGUAGAGAUCUGGAGGAAUACCGGUGGCGAAGGCGGCCCCCUGGACAAAGACUGACGCUCAGGUGCGAAAGCGUGGGGAGCAAACAGGAUUAGAUACCCUGGUAGUCCACGCCGUAAACGAUGUCGAUUUGGAGGUUGUGCCCUUGAGGCGUGGCUUCCGGAGCUAACGCGUUAAAUCGACCGCCUGGGGAGUACGGCCGCAAGGUUAAAACUCAAAUGAAUUGACGGGGGCCCGCACAAGCGGUGGAGCAUGUGGUUUAAUUCGAUGCAACGCGAAGAACCUUACCUGGUCUUGACAUCCACAGAACUUUCCAGAGAUGGAUUGGUGCCUUCGGGAACUGUGAGACAGGUGCUGCAUGGCUGUCGUCAGCUCGUGUUGUGAAAUGUUGGGUUAAGUCCCGCAACGAGCGCAACCCUUAUCCUUUGUUGCCAGCGGUCCGGCCGGGAACUCAAAGGAGACUGCCAGUGAUAAACUGGAGGAAGGUGGGGAUGACGUCAAGUCAUCAUGGCCCUUACGACCAGGGCUACACACGUGCUACAAUGGCAUAUACAAAGAGAAGCGACCUCGCGAGAGCAAGCGGACCUCAUAAAGUAUGUCGUAGUCCGGAUUGGAGUCUGCAACUCGACUCCAUGAAGUCGGAAUCGCUAGUAAUCGUAGAUCAGAAUGCUACGGUGAAUACGUUCCCGGGCCUUGUACACACCGCCCGUCACACCAUGGGAGUGGGUUGCAAAAGAAGUAGGUAGC
rnacentral:rRNA from 1 species